AAUACGUAGGGUGCAAGCGUUAAUCGGAAUUACUGGGCGUAAAGCGUGCGCAGGCGGUUUCGUAAGACAGAUGUGAAAUCCCCGGGCUUGACCUGGGAACUGCAUUUGUGACUGCGAGGCUAGAGUGUGUCAGAGGGAGGUGGAAUUCCGCGUGUAGCAGUGAAAUGCGUAGAGAUGCGGAGGAACACCGAUGGCGAAGGCAGCCUCCUGGGAUAACACUGACGCUCAUGCACGAAAGCGUGGGGAGCAAACAG
rnacentral:rRNA from 1 species